rnacentral:lncRNA from 1 species
AUGCUCAGUAGAGCUUGCCAUGUGUCAGCUGCACUCACACAGCUUGUCUCUCUACAUCAACAAGAAGGACACUUGCUGAAGGGUGCUGCUCCCAUAAAACAGCAAGAACCUUUUGGGAAGAGCCUCCACAGAGAAAUAGGCCAUAUCCAAGAAAAGAAGCAGAAUGGUAAAAGAGUUGAGGUGGGAGCCAGACAGCCUCUUCUUGUUUUCCAUAUGAGGUGGAAAGAGCUGAUCAUCUGACAAGAAAACCAGAAUACUUCUUGAAUAUUUGGCAAGCUCCAACUUCAAGCUCAUUGAUUUAGUCAAGAGCAAUUUCACUUCAAGAGCUUGAGAAAUGCCACCUUGAAAGGAAUAACUGAGUUCACAGUUUCUCUUCUGAAACUUCAUUUGCACUGUUAUCUUGCUAUGGUUGAGGGCUUACACCAAUAACCUAACCCCACCAAACUAAGUCAUGCAAAGAGUUUUGAAAUGAGUGGACUGGAGCAGAAGAGCAUUAUUUUUGUUGUCCUGGUUCCUUUCCCAGGGAGACAUAUAGACACCCACUUAAGGGCCAGAGGGAUGGGGAGAAGGAGGAUUUUGUGUUUGCCAACUGCUUUCCUGUGGUCUCGUGUCUGGCCCCAGAUUCCUUCCUAACUUCCUUCCCAGAAAUUCCCUUGGUGACAUUGUCCUUAAUGCCCAUGAUCAUCCUCCUCACCAGCCACCUCAGUCCAGGCAACACCAAGCUAGUCAGUCUCUGACUGCAUUAGCAAGACUACAAACUCAGUCCCUUCAUUAACUGGCACCCUAUAAUUAUUCCUCAGUUCCCCAGCUGAACUCCAGUCCCAGCACCUGUUUUGAUUUGAUCACAGCUGGACUGAAGCCAUCCUGGUCAGACCUCCUCUUAAUCAUACUCCUGACAGUCACUGGGUUUUCAUAGAAGAUGUUUCUGGUCCAGCACAGCCAUUUCCCUUUCACAGGCUGCCCAAGCACCUGAGGUUAACACAUCAGACUGAAUCCAGUCUCUUGAGCCUUCAUUCUCAUAACUUUCCUCUGCUCUACCAGGUACAGACAUGGUCAUUGUGCACACAUCCAUCAUCUCCACGUGCAUCACCAAGCAGAGAACACAACGCUGCCAGAGGACCCAACACAAUGACUGAUUCCUGGAGAGCCCUAGGCUGGGGGUCCUUGCUUUUGUCCAUAACAGAGGUGCUUGGUGCCACAAUGACCCAGUCUGACAUGAUGCAUCAUCUCAGCAUGGGAGCUCUGGGACUUGGCCCUCCACACCCAGACUG